GACGAACGCUGGCGGCGUGCUUAACACAUGCAAGUCGAACGGAAAGGCCCUGCUUUUGUGGGGUGCUCGAGUGGCGAACGGGUGAGUAACACGUGAGUAACCUGCCCUUGACUUUGGGAUAACUUCAGGAAACUGGGGCUAAUACCGGAUAGAAGCUCCUGCUGCAUGGUGGGGGUUGGAAAGUUUCGGCGGUUGGGGAUGGACUCGCGGCUUAUCAGCUUGUUGGUGGGGUAGUGGCUUACCAAGGCUUUGACGGGUAGCCGGCCUGAGAGGGUGACCGGCCACAUUGGGACUGAGAGACGGCCCAGACUGCUACGGGAGGCAGAAGUGGGGAAUAUUGCACAGUGGGCGGAAGCCUGAUGCAGCAACGCCGCGUGCGGGAUGCCGGCCUUCGGGUUGUAAACCGCUUUCGCCUGUGACGAAGCGUGAGUGACGGUAAUGGGUAAAGAAGCACCGGCUAACUACGUG
rnacentral:rRNA from 1 species